rnacentral:rRNA from 1 species
AAUGAACGCUGGCGGCAUGCCUAACACAUGCAAGUCGAACGAGACCUUCGGGUCUAGUGGCGCACGGGUGCGUAACGCGUGGGAAUCUGCCCUUGGGUUCGGAAUAACAGUUAGAAAUGACUGCUAAUACCGAAUGAUGUCGUAAGACCAAAGAUUUAUCGCCCAGGGAUGAGCCCGCGUAAGAUUAGGUAGUUGGUGUGGUAAAGGCGCACCAAGCCGACGAUCUUUAGCUGGCUGAGAGGAUGAUCAGCCACACUGGGACUGAGACACGGCCCAGACUCCUACGGGAGGCAGCAGUGGGGAAUAUUGGACAAUGGGCGAAAGCCUGAUCCAGCAAUGCCGCGUGAGUGAUGAA